rnacentral:rRNA from 1 species
AGUGAACGCUGGCGGUGGGCCUAACACAUGCAAGUCGAACGGCAGCACAGUAAGAGCUUGCUCUUACGGGUGGCGAGUGGCGGACGGGUGAGGAAUACAUCGGAAUCUACUUUUUCGUGGGGGAUAACGUAGGGAAACUUACGCUAAUACCGCAUACGACCUACGGGUGAAAGCAGGGGAUCUUCGGACCUUGCGCGAUUGAAUGAGCCGAUGUCGGAUUAGCUAGUUGGCGGGGUAAAGGCCCACCAAGGCGACGAUCCGUAGCUGGUCUGAGAGGAUGAUCAGCCACACUUGAACUGAGACACGGUCCAGACUCCUACGGGAGGCAGCAGUGGGGAAUAUUGGACAAUGGGCGCAAGCCUGAUCCAGCCAUACCGCGUGGGUGAAGAAGGCCUUCGGGUUGUAAAGCCCUUUUGUUGGGAAAGAAAAGCAGCAGGUUAAUACCCCGCUGUUCUGACGGUACCCAAAGAAUAAGCACCGGCUAACUUCGUG